GGAUCAUGACUGAGAGUAUGACUGUCACAUCUGUCACCCCAUCGAUCACCAGGGAUGAUUUAGCUGAUCUGGCUGACUAGGUGGUAUCCCCUUCCCUGAUAUUCCAUGUGUCCCUCCUAAGGCUGCGCACCUGGCCAAGAGGACAACCUUCCUGGAUAGAGACGGAUCAUUCCAUUCAUUGUUGAAUGGUAUAUAACACUCCCCUAACAUAACCUCCAUACUAGCUCGCAAGGAAUACUGUAAAAAAGAGGUGGGGGUGAACUAAUUAAGCUAUUCAUUGCAAAAGUACUU
ensembl:misc_RNA 7SK 7SK RNA